rnacentral:rRNA from 1 species
CCUACGGGGGGCUGCAGUGGGGAAUAUUGGACAAUGGGCGCAAGCCUGAUCCAGCCAUGCCGCGUGUGUGAAGAAGGCCUUCGGGUUGUAAAGCACUUUCAGUAGGGAGGAAGCGUUGUGUGUUAAUAGUACACAGCGUUGACGUUACCUACAGAAGAAGCACCGGCUAACUCUGUGCCAGCAGCCGCGGUAAUACAGAGGGUGCAAGCGUUAAUCGGAAUUACUGGGCGUAAAGCGCACGUAGGCGGUUUUUUAAGUCAGAUGUGAAAGCCCCG